GAUCUGGUGGUGAAAUGAAUCACACCCACUUUACUGUGGUGGGAAUCCCUGGUUCGAGUCCGGGCCAGGUCA